UACGGAGGAGGCAAGCGUUAUCCGGAAUUAUUGGGCGUAAAGCGUCCGCAGGUGGCACUUCAAGUCUGUCGUCAAAGACUGGGGCUUAACCCUGGAAAGGCGGUGGAAACUGAAGCGCUAGAGUGCGGUAGGGGUAGAGGGAAUUCCCGGUGUAGCGGUGAAAUGCGUAGAGAUCGGCAGGAACACCCAGGGGGAAACCAGUGGACUGGGCAGGCGCUGACACUCAUGUGCGAAAGCGUGGGCAGCGAACCGG
rnacentral:rRNA from 1 species